rnacentral:SRP_RNA from 2 species
GCCGGGCGUGGUGGCUCACGCCUGUAAUCCCAGCACUUUGGGAGGCCGAGGUGGGUGGAUCACUCGAGGUCAGGAGUUCAAGACCGGCCUGGCCAACAUGGUGAAACCCCAUCUCUA